GCAUUGCUGAAAAGUCCUACAAUAGGACGAAACGAUCGUCCAAUGC
rnacentral:hammerhead_ribozyme from 1 species